GACGAACCGUCCAAACGUUGUUCGGAAUCACUGGGCUUAAAGGGCGCGUAGGCGGAUGCUCAAGUCGGUGGUGAAAUCUUUCGGCUCAACCGGAAAACAGCCGCCGAUACUGGGGAUCUCGAGGGAGGUAGGGGUCGAGGGAACUUCCGGUGGAGCGGUGAAAUGCGUAGAUAUCGGAAGGAACGCCGGUGGCGAAAGCGCUCGACUGGACCUCUUCUGACGCUGAGGCGCGAAAGCCAGGGGAGCAAACGGG
rnacentral:rRNA from 1 species